GAAAAGAGAGUCACCUUCUCCAGCACCCAAGCCUAGAAAAGUGGAGCUGUCUGAGUCUGAGGAAGACAAAGGCAGCAAAAUGGCUGCAGCUGAUUCUGUGCAGCAGAGGCGACAAUAUAGACGACAGAACCAGCAGUCUUCAUCUGACUCUGGCUCCUCUUCCACCUCAGAAGAUGAGCGGCCCAAGAGAUCCCAUGUGAAGAAUGGUGAGGUAGGCAGGCGGCGGAGACAUUCUCCUUCUCGGAGUGCCUCUCCAUCACCUCGAAAGCGCCAAAAAGAGACUUCCCCUCGGAUGCAGAUGGGAAAGCGAUGGCAGUCGCCAGUGACUAAAAGUAGUAGAAGGAGGAGAAGUCCUUCCCCACCUCCUGCCAGAAGACGACGAUCUCCUUCUCCAGCCCCUCCUCCCCCUCCUCCCCCACCUCCUCGGCGGCGCAGAUCUCCCACCCCACCACCACGACGAAGGACCCCUUCUCCUCCCCCACGCCGCCGCUCACCGUCUCCAAGAAGAUACUCUCCUCCCAUCCAGAGGAGAUACUCUCCUUCCCCACCUCCAAAGAGGAGAACUGCCUCGCCCCCACCCCCACCCAAGCGAAGGGCAUCGCCAUCUCCUCCACCAAAGCGCCGGGUUUCCCACUCUCCACCUCCUAAACAAAGAAGCCCCCCAGUCACCAAGAGACGCUCACCCUCCUUAUCUUCAAAGCAUAGGAAAGGGUCUUCCCCAGGCCGCUCCACUCGGGAGGCCCGGUCACCACAACCAAACAAAAGGCACUCGCCCUCACCACGACCUCGGGCGCCUCAGACCUCAAGCCCUCCCCCUGUUCGAAGAGGAGCUUCAGCGUCUCCCCAAGGAAGGCAGUCCCCGUCUCCGAGUACUAGGCCUAUUAGGAGAGUCUCCAGGACUCCGGAACCCAAAAAGAUAAAAAAGGCUGCCUCACCAAGCCCUCAGUCCGUAAGA
rnacentral:lncRNA from 1 species